CCAGCCGCCUUUUCUCCGCGGCUGCUGCGGGUUGGUUUUUUCUGCGUCUGACGCUGGUAGCCGGUGGUAAAGGCAAGCGAGCUAGUGCCUUUGUCCAGUUUGGAAGAUGUUUUCGGGGAGCUUAACUGGCGGGCGGCGGGUGGCCGCCCCCGUGGGCUUCGGGCGGCCGCCGUGGCGGGGACUGGAGACUGGCGGGGCCGCGCCACGCUGCCGGGCCGCGGCGGCGGGCGCGUGCUUGUCCCGCAGGCCCGCCGCUCCCCGGAGCCUGAGGUCGCCGAAGGCCGGGGCCCCUUGGCCUGGGCUCGUCGUUGGGAGUGAGCAGAUCCGAGAGAACUCGCAGACCCACUGAAGAGUGCCGAGGGGGAGCAGCGCCGCGCCCUGCGGUUGCAAAUGAAGGAAGAGCUGGCAAGAGCGGAGGACUGCAGUGAGGAGCAUUGGCCUGCCAUGAGGCUCUGAGAGCUCAAGAAUGGUGACCAGGGCAGGCCAAAGCUGGUGAUGGUGGCAGCAGCACAGCUUACCUUGGAAAGAGGCUGUUUUUCCAGAGGAUGGUCAGCCAUGCUGCAGCAGGGGCAGAAUUUGAAGUUCCAAGGACCAGUGGUCAGUCAUCAUCAAUUUGGACUCCACACAGAAACCUAGGCCUCAACAUUCGGUGUAGAAAGGCUCACCUUGCCUCGGCUGGUUUUGUGCAGUGGGUAGAGCAUCGGCCUGCAGACUGAAGGGUCCCAGGUUCGAUUCCAGUCAAGGGCACAUGCCCAGGUUGCAGGCUUGAAUCCCCAGUGGGGGGUGUGCAGGAGGCAGCUGACCAAUGAUUCUUAUUAAUGUUUCUCUCUCUCCCUCUAAAAUCAAUAAAAAUACAUUUU